rnacentral:lncRNA from 1 species
GUUGAAAUGAUGUUGCUCAAAGAUUUCCCAGCAUUGGCACAAGCUAAGCAAAUAAGGAAAAUACUGCUAUAAUCACUACAGAGAUGGAGAGUUCUGCUUAGCUCCCAUCUUUGUAUUCAAAACUGGAAAAAUUACAAGUGCUCGAAGUUUAUCCUGUCCAGAGUGCAGUGUGCUGAAGUGGCAUUAUCUUCACUUCACUGAUAAGAAGAUUUACAUCCACACAAAGCCAGACUGGAAGGUCUGGGCUAAGGGCUGGGCCCAGAGCUGCAGAUGUGGUGAUUACC